rnacentral:lncRNA from 1 species
AAGAAAAAAAAAAAGUGGUUGCGAGUCAUAGUUAUGCAUUCAUAUGGGAAUGGAACUACUAAAUAUUAAUUAUUAAGAUAUAUAAAAUUAAAUCUAAGUCAUGAGAUUUCCAUAGGUAGAGCACAUGUAGCAGAUUCUUAACUAAUAAAACAUUUAUUAAUUUAAAACAUAUAGUAUAUUAAUAAAACUUUGAAAACACAAGUCUGGAAUCAAACAAUUAAUAUAAUAGACUAAUAGAGUAUCUCAGUUAUCCCAUCAUAUUAUUUUGACUGAUAGACAGUCAACCCAGACAGCAAAUUGAAAGAAAACAAACAUGCUAAUUAUAAACCAUACCAACCCCCUCCAUCAAGAACUGGCUCAACAAUGGACUUUUAGAGAUAAUUCCAAGAACUAAUUUACUACCAACAAGUACCUAUAUUAUAUAAUUUUUAUUUAUUUAUAAUUUUCUUUUUAUGUUCAACAAGUACUUACAGAUCAGAAACACAUCAUAAUUAAUCACUGUUUCACAUUAGCAUGUCUUUGGCAUUCAGUGUUACAAGGUGUUUAGACUGAUCUGAUAAUAAUGUGAAAACAGGAUGUCUGUAAUCGCUGAAGUAGACUUACAUGGCCUAUUUUUUAAUUUUUGGAUAAACAGGCUUAUGGAGGCAAAAAGAUAAUAUACCAUAGUCUGUAACUAUAAUACUAUUUAUGUUUUUCCGCUCUCUUAGUGCAUGCACAAUAUUUACCUUUUUCCCAAAAAAGCCUUUAUACUUUUCAUAUAACUUUAUAAUUUUUAUCAUACAAUGCAUUGAUCUUACAAAAGCUCAAUAGAACAACAUAUUUUUUAAAAAAAUUAUUUGUUAAUAUUUUACAUGAAAAAAGUUUUUUUUUUCCAAUUGAACUACAUAUCCAUUAAGCAACAACGUGACAUCCUACUAUCGUUGAGUUUAAUGCAUUCAAAUUAUAAAUGCUCUUAGAGCAUCUCUAAUUAUAGGUUAUUUAAAAAGUAAAAUACUAAGAAUUAACCCCAAAAAGUAUUUUUUUUACCCUUAAAUAAGUUGAUUUUUGGAUCAAUAAUAUCAACCAUUUUUAUUCGAAAAUGAUGUUUUUUAGUUUCAUGUUUUAUACAAUUAACCCUAUUUAAUAAUGUUUCGUUUUUAUUCUUCUUAUUAUAUUUAACUUUUAAAGAUUUAUUAAAUUUUUUACUAAUUUUUCGUUUUGAUCUCAAAUAUUAAAUAUCAAUUUGUAACUGUCAUAUUAUGUUUUUAUUGUUUUUAUUUUUAUAAUUAUAUACAUAAUAUUGUAGAUGAAAUGAAACAAUACAAGAACUCUGAAUUUAUAGUAGUAUUUAUUUUAGUUUUGUGUAUUAUAAUAUAUUUGUUUUAUUUAAUGGUGUUGUUAAAUACUUUUAAAACAAUCAAUACAUCUUAGUUAUCACCGUAUAACGAAUGAGAAGACAAACGGGUAAUAAGUUGCGUCGUUAAGCCUUUUUGUUUGAUAGUUAACUGGUGUUAGCAGUGGUUCCUGAAAGCACAAAACAAACAACAUUCGAGGUUCAAGUUCUCAUCAAAGCAUUGCCUAACAGGCCAUCCAACAUAUCAUCUGCAAUCCAAACUAGCAUGUUAUUCUAGAGGCUCAUACAGUAGGCAUACAAAGGCAUCUCUCCUAUCAUGCAACUCUAAGCAGAUCAUUAGCCCUAAUCUAGCAUGUUAUUCACAUACUCACAUACUGAAAAUAAAUAAACAUGUAUGGUUACUUUGGGAACACAUACUUGAGCUCGAUCGAUUGCAUGCAUCACAUCCCAUGUUAAAAAUAUUUUUAAGAAAUCUUUUAUUUUCACUUAAUUCCUUAGUUUGAGUUCUUACACACGCGAGAGUGUAUCUGGAUCCCUCACACCAAGGCUCUGAUACCAACUUGUGACAUCCCAAAAUAAUAAGUGAAAAUUUUUGUUUAAAAUGAACCAAACCAUCAGUCAUAUAUUUCAAAAUCAUCAGGUAUGUCAUAAGAAAAGCAGUUGUUAGAGUACAAUCCCAAAAUCAUGAAAUGACAAAUACAGGUGGAUGCAAUGCGAUCAUGCCAAUCAUUUCCCUUUUGAACUGGAAGUACCUGAAAAACAUUUAAACAUAAACUGUAAGCACAAAGCUUAGUGAGUUCCUCAAAAUACCACAACAUACAUACACAUCACCUCUAUAUAUCAUAUUAAAACAUGUAACGGGUCUAUUUCACCCCUAAGUCCCUUCUAACUCUAUGAGUCCCUUCCAAAUCGCUGAGUCCCUUUCGAAUCAUGAGUGCCCUCCGACUCUCUGAGUCCAUUCCAAAUCCUUCGGUAUCUUUCAACCAGUAUGGGUCUAUUUCACCAGCUAAGCAUACAGUCAUACCAACAAGAGUCACAAAGACAACAAACACAUACAUGGAUAUCAGAAAGUGUCACAAAGACCACUACUAUGAUGAAACAUAAUCCAGGGGGCUAGCACUAGUGCCUUCGACCCAUAAGUACAGUGAGGAAACUCACCUAACAGACGAUGAUCAACUGUUAUAGCUCCUGCUGCUACAAAUAAAAAUGUUAUAACCCACCCAUAUAUCCAUACAAAGUACACUCUUGGCCACGUGUGGCUCUCAAAUGACAAAACAUACACAUUUCCCUCAUUCGCCACGUUGUGGGCACUGGGUUCAAAGCGUCUUAAUGGGUUAAGCCGAGUUCUCCAUUUCCAAAGGUUUCAAAGUUCAUAUUUGAUCAUGUGUAUUGUCUAAAUGGAUCGGUUUCUAACUUUAUCCCUUGAGCCUCACCAAAAAGGUCUAGAACUCAAGUCUUAGGUUCAUAAGGCACAACCAUGGCGAGGGCUUAACCCAGAAGCACUUAAUCCCUUAAGUCUCAAACCCAUCUGCUCCAGAAGAGCUCAUAACACCAAAACCAACUUAAAGGUUGGUGCUUUUUAGACAUGCAUGUCCAAUGCAUGUCUUGGACUCAAAUUAUGUCAAAAUUGGGUUUAUGACCAAAAUAUUAUACAUGGCUCGAUCAACAAACCAAAAUUCAGAUCCAAACAAUGAAUUACUCCAAAUGAUCCAUAGAUUCAUAAAGUUACAGCCUUUAUAAACUCUCACCAUCCCAACUAACAAGAUUAAGAAGAAAAUGGGACAAAUUCAAGAUCUAGCAACCUAUAAUAAAAAAAGGUGGAGCCUUGAAUACUUACAAGGGUCCAUAAUCGAGCUAGGAAGGGAGAUGGGGACUUUCUUGUUGAUCCUUGGCUUACUCCACCUUGCUCUUUCCUUCAAAAUCUCUCAAAAGCACUCAAGAAAGCUUCAACAAUGGACGAAAAAGAAUUAGGGUUUCUUCUGGGUUAAAGAGGGUAGUGGAGGCUGAGGGUGAGCAAACCAUAACUUCCCCAUUCCUUUAAAUAGGAUGCAAACCCGGAAAACUAGGGUUUAAUACGUCAGCAGCGGCUACGUCGUGGCCUUGCUUGCUAUUUUGUGUCAAGUCAAAAGCAACCUGCGACCAAAAGAUGCCUUGCCACGUCGUGGCGACCCCAAAUCAAAUUUUAAAUUAAAAAUAAAAUGUACCUCAUAGCUAGAUGUUACACAGAUACCAUUAGAUUUGAAUAUAGUUAUUUGUUAUGUCCCAAAAUGUAAAUCAUAAUUUUCAUUUUCAAAAUAUAGUAUAAAGUCAAACUUUGUUUCUAAAAAUAAUAUAAAAACUCAUUUGUUUAACAUUGUAAAGACGUAGUUUCCAAAACACAGUCAUAACGUAAAAUUAAUGGAAGUGUGUGACAAAAUUAGUAGCGAUGCGCGUGCAGUACAGCCAAUUUAGGCUCUUACUUCUGACAGCAGAACUACCUGAAAAUCAUUCAAUCCAUAACUAAAAACAUAAAGCUUAGUGAGUUUUUCAAAAUAUCAUAUAUCACAUUACACAUAUAAUGCAUACAUAAAAGGUUCAUAGUCAGCACCUCAGUGGGCCUGUAGACUUGUAGCCAUCAUCUUAAAGACCUUUUAGACUUCCAGUCGUCAUCAACUCAUAGUCAACACCUUAAUGGGACUAUGUGCAUGUGAUCAUCAUCCCAAAGGCAUGUUAAACUUCCAAUUAUCAUUAACUUAUAACCAACACCUCAGUGGACCUAUAGACGUAAGGUCGUCAUCCCAAAGAAUUAUUGAACUUCCAGCUAUCACUAGCUUAUAGUCAACACCUCAGUGUGGUUGUAGGCAAUGUCAUCACCCCCAUAGGCCUAUUUUACUUCUAAUUGCUAUCCUAAUGGGCCCGAAGGCUUAUAACCAAUUUCCUAUAACAUCCAACUUAUGAUAAAUAAAUAGACUAACUAGCCUAAACAUAAAUUCAUAAUCUAAUAGUACCCAUCCAACCUAGCAUAUUGGACAUACAAUGUCACAAACAUUAUAGUGAGAAAACCCACCUGAGCUAAACAACAGAAUCUUAACAACAACUACACAACACUCGUAAGAAUUGACCUUACGAACCUCAUAAAUAAUAAUUGGAGGUCAAACCUCAGACUAUAACUUAAUCCUUCAAAGUUUAACCCAAAGUUAAACCGAUCAAAAAGUCAAAGGUCAACGGUCAAAGUCAAUGACCAACUAGGUGCACCACAACAAUAGACACAUACAUCAUGCCCUAGUCGCAACAAAAUAAUUUGGAAAAACCCUUAAGGGAGCCUCGACUAUCCAAACACGUGUGUCACGCCCUUCAGAUUACCACCCUCAAAUAUUAAGCACUUAAUCCUUAUAGCCAAGGCCUAGCCCUCUCAAAUUUGAAUCUCCUAAGGGUUUUAAUGGAUAAAAUUUCCAAAUUUAUCUAGAUCCAUGUCUCAAUCAUCCACAAAUUCAAACCCUAACACCAUAAGAGACUUUAAGGGCUAAAAAUCAAUGCAUGGACCAUAAAGAAUGCAUAAACUCUCAUUUUUCUUCCAUAAAAUUAUCUAGAAAGCAUCUUAAUCCAAACAUAUUGCUCUCGAGUUUCCAAACUCCAUAGAAAAGGCCCCAAAGAAACCAAAAUCACAUGCAAAGUUUAGAUCUAAGAAAAUGAAACAUAAAGAUAAGAAAUUUAUACUCACAAAGGUCCAGAGAUGAGAUGAAAAGGUUGGAUCUACACUUGAAUCAAGCUUCCUUGCACCAAAAAGGAAUUCCUUCGACUUUAAGCUUCACAAAGAAGAUCAAAAACUUCAAGGAUACAUUAAGGAGGCUAGCAGUUGAGUGAAGGUAUGUUCUUUGAGGAUGGAGGAUACGAAAUGACAAAGCCUUAAGGGUCUGUGCCUUUAAAUAGGGCCCAAGGCCUAAAAAAUUAUGGUUUUUUUUUGGCAGAAGGGAAGGGACGCACCGAACCCAUACUUAGGGAUGUGUGUUAUAACAUAAAUAUGAUAUUGUUACAGAUAUCAUUUGUAUAAAUCUCUUUUUGUAGUAAUAAUACAAUAAAAACAUAUAAAAUGCUACAUAAAACUUAUAAAAUAUAUAAAUGAAGGAAAAACUUACUGUGUUUGGUAGAAUGUUGUCAUUGUGGUAUUCUCAUUAGAGAAAAAUCCUCAGUACACACAAAAUAAAAGUUAAAAAAAUAAUAAUGAUAAACUAAAAUUAAAAGAAUGUAGUUUAAAAAGAAGACCACAUCUAGCCCAUUUCGCAGCCCAAACAAUAAAUCGUUCGCCCUCAGCCCGUUAGAUGAUUUUGAUGAUGAUAUUGCAAAAUCACCGGCCUUUUUUUCCUUCAAAUUUUUAUUAUUUUCCUUGAAGAUUUUGUAAAAUUGGACGAAGCUAUUGCAAACUCAUAAAAGGUAGUACAAUUACAACCUCCCGGUUUGCCAAUUUAUGUACUAGUUAUCACUCUCACACCCUCGCCCCUGAGCUAAAACAACCGAAUUUCAAUUCCAGACAAGUUUAGGGUUUAAUUAGCACCAAUGGCAUCUCAUUCUAAUAUCGAUGACGUAAGUAGUGAAUUCUAGGGUUUGGUUGUGCUAAUUUUGAUGCACUACUAUUUGCAUCACAUUAUUCGUAGAUUAUUUGUUUUCUAAUUAACGGAAUCGCAGGAUGAUGAUUUCGGUGGUGAUUUUCCAGGAGCCAACCCUACGAGGGUCUCAGGUGUGAAUUAAUCCGUGAAUUUAGAGCAAAUAGUGUUCAACUAUUUCUGAUUUUAGUGUAACUGGUUAUGUAUGAUGUUUCGCUUGUCUAAUGUGACUUUAGGCACUAAGAGGGGAUUUGGGGAUCUUGAUGAUGAUGAAGAUGAUAUUUUUGGCUCCAAAAAGGUUUGUUUUGUUUUAGUUAAUUCACGACAUUUUUUCGUAUCAACAUACGCACCCUCAUCUCGAUAAUCGAAGUUUGCAUUGUAAGAACAGUUCUAUCUGUGAUACGCAUGUCCUAAAUAGCGUUCAUUCUUAGUUCUUGCUAAAUCUAAACCAAGGAGGAUUCCUUCCUAGUGUACUCAUGUCACUUAGGAUUAGUACUUUCUUUUUAAGAUGAAUUAUUUGGAACUGAAUCAGUAUUUGUUUAAGUUCUUUAUUCAUAAUCACUACUGAGAAUCUUGCCAUGAAAACAUGUUAGAGAUCCAUUCUGUUUUAUUCGGGUUUUAUUAGAACAAAUACUAGUUAUUGUGAUAAGGAAGUGUUAUAGAGGAACCACCAAUAAUUCACAGUUCAAGAGAGUUGGAGUAAGUUGGUUUUUGGAUUGGAACAUGCCAGGGUUUAUCAAGUCAACAAGACAAUUCAUGGUUUAGUUUGGAUGCACAUUGUCAAAUUGGCUAUUACAACUUGAAGAAUUAGAAUCAUGAUGAGAUAAAUCAGAGAAUUAGGGAUGGCUGGGUAAUUUUACUUUUCAUUUUGUAAUUAGUUUCCUUGCUGCAACUCUUUACCUAUGCUAUGAACUCACUUAAUCUAACGAGUAACACACAACAAAAACAACUCAAAAUGAAGAGAACAAACUGCAAUUCCUUCACUAUUACUCAAACGAUUUAAGAACAAACAGAUAGGUUGACUGAUUCAAGAUAGCCACUCUCCCUAAAGGAAUAGAUUCCAGAUUUCACAAAAGAUAGCUACCCUCUCCCUGAUAACCAAAUUGUUUAGAUAUGACAAUUGACACAGAACUAACAACGAAUAUAAACAUUCUAUAUAUUAGAGUGGACUCAUUUAUGUUCUUUCUCUUUUUUUUUUUCUUUUUUUGCUUUAAGCUUUUGGCUACUUUUAUUCCAGUUCUGGCCUCUUAUCUCUCUAGUUUCUCAUUACUUCUUCAAAAACUUAAUUCAUCGUGGGUAUAUCAGAUUGUCAAUGGGAUGCUUGUAUUCUCCUAUAUCCCUGGAUAUUUUAUUAUAAAUGUGAUGUUUUAUGUUACUUUGUUUGCAUUUCAGGCUAACAUAAAAGUAGAAGAAACUGCACCAGGUGUGACAACUGGGAUGAUUUUAUCCCUUCGUGAAAGGUAUCAUCAAUUCAUUUUAAUCAAAUAUAAAUCCCCUUUUUAAGGUUUUGUUUUUUCACAACACUUUCAUUUGAAUCAAAAUAUAAAUCCCCUUUUGCAUCUCUUUUUGUGCUUUGUCUUUUGUAGUCUCCAAAGCUGUAACGAUAGUCUUGCAACAUGCCAAGUACGUAACUGUUUUUUUUCUUUUUAAUAAUUCUUUCUUACUUCCGCACCUUCCAUUAUUAUGCAACAAAUGAUUUUUAAUCUAAAAUACUAUUGUAAUGUCUUAUAGUCGGAGCUUGAAACUGCAAAGUCAGAAGUUCAGAAGUGGCAUUCUGCAUUUCAGAAAGAAUCCUUCAUUCCAUCAGGCUCAUCUGUUGGUUGGUUUCAUAAACUAUUAUAUUUCAUUUAACACCUUACAAGAAAAUAUGUUAUUUAAAUAUAUAAAUUUUCUUUACGAGAAGCUUGUGUUAUGGAAUAAUGGUUACUGAUGAUUUGCUGUCAAUGCAGAACCUAGAAUUGUCAUCAAUUAUCUCCAGAACUUAAAAUCUUCUGAGGAAUCAGUGCGAGAACAGGUUUGGUUUCAAAAACUUAAAAUGCUUUUGUGUUGUGGUGGCAAAUUAAUGCAAAUAUAUAUUGUUGAUUUUAUAUUAUAUUCAGCUAGAAAAAGCAAAGAAAAAGGAAGCUGCAUUUAUAGUGACUAUUGCAAAACGAGAGCAGGAAAUAGCAGAUUUGAAGGUGCUUGUUUCUUUUUUCGUUACACAGAUGUAAAUUGUAAAUUUGUAAUGCCUUUAUAUUUAUUUAUAUGUCAACUGAUGAAAUUGGUUUUUGAAAUGCUUCAGUCUGCAGUUCGGGAUUUAAGAUCACAACUCAAGCCUCUAGCAAUGCAGGUAACUUAAUGUAGUUAUCUAAAUCAAAUUGUCUCUCGUUAAUGUAUUUGGCAUACUUCAAAUUCCCUCUUUUUGUGUAAAAAUUUACAGGCAAGAAGACUGUUACUUGAUCCUGCAAUUCAUGAGGAGUUUAUGCGUUUGAAGGUUCUUCUUCUUUAUUAUUAUUAUUAUUAUUAUUAUUAUUAUUAUUAUUAUUGUUAUUAUUAGGGCAAGUUGCAGGAAAUAGCAAUAGAGUUACUCGUUUUACUAAUAUAGGCAACAUACUUUAAUUUUUACCUAAGAUAGCAAAUGUAACUUACAAUAGCAACUUAUUUACAAUAAUUUUACUCAUAAUAGCAACAUACUUAUAUUUCUUAACUGAUAAUAGCAAUAUGUAACAAAUAAAGUACAAUACGCAAAUUCGUAGGAAAAUUAAGUAUGUUGCUAUUAUAGAUAAUAGCAAUAUGUAAACUAGGUUGCUAUUAAUUAUCUGCAAUUUUGGUUUGUUAUAUAUAUAUAUAUAUUUUAUUAAGGAGUGACUGCAAUUGUGAUUUCAGAAUUUGGUAGAGGAGAAGGAUAAAAAAGUGAAGGAGUUGCAGGAUAAUGUUGCUGCAGUCAACUUCACUCCACAAAGCAAAAUGGGGAAGAUGUUAAUGGCCAAGUGCAGGACCCUGCAGGAAGAGAAUGAGGAGAUUGGAAAUCAAGCCAAAGAAGGAAAGGUUAGAUAUAAGAUAAUGAUAAAUCAUAUCUAAAAGUUAUCUGAGGAACAGAAUAAAUUAGUUAUAUACAUUUAAUAAAUAAUUUGAAGUUACUUUAGGACUUAAUGGGAAAAAGUGUCAUUUCUGGUUUUGCAGAUACAUGAGUUGUCGACAAAACUUGCUUUGCAGAAAUCUCAAAAUAUUGAACUCAGAAGCCAGUUUGAAGGUUGGUUUUUGUUUAUUUAUUAAUUAUUAAUUAUAUGUUGAUUUAAUUCUAUAUAUCAAGGCUGUAUCAUUUAUUAAUAUGAUGCAGGAUUGUGCAAGCACUUGGAGGGACUUACAGACGACGUUGAAAAAUCAAAUGAAAUGGUCAGCUUCAUUGUCAUUUAAUUAGCUUCCUCAUGUUGGGUUGGGUGGCAUUUUUACCCAUUUACCUUUUUAUUUUCAGCAACAUGUUAAGGGUUUUGUUUUGGGGUGUUUUAGGUGCUAAUAUUGGAAGAGAAGCUUGAAGAUAAAGAUGCUGAGAUCCAAAGAUUAAGGCGGAAACUGCAGCAGCAAAAGGGCAUGGACAUGGUAGAGGAAAAAACUGUGGUUGCCGUCGCCGAUAAUAAAGAUGUUAAUGAUGACGAGGUCACAAUGUCAAUGGAAGCUGAGAAUGACAAGGCUUAAAGGUGUUUUUGACAUAUUGAACAUGAAAACAUUCAUAUGUCGUUUUGAAAUUUCAAUUUGAAUUUGCUACUGAGCUGUACUAGUUUUGUAUUUGUGGCUGUGGGUGCCCAUAUGUUUCUUGGAACUCAAGGCUUCAUUUGAUUACAAUUUGAAUUUGCUUCUUCACAAAUGACAUGGAUGGUGCAUAUAGUUUCAGAACUUUCAGUGAUCAUUAUGAAAAAGCCACAGCUUAUAUAACUUUAGAAAUCAAAUCAUUUAAACUUUUGGAUUUAAUUAUUUAAACAGCAAGUUAUUGGUCACUGAGGCAUCAUCACCCAUCUGAUCUCAGUCUCAUGUAACUAAUGCACUCUCAAUGAACAUAAACUUUAUACGAAGCAAUAUUCUUGACCCAUAUAACAAGCUAUAUACAUGUACAUGGAAAAUAGCCCUACUAAAAAAUUAGAUUAAAAUGAUGCGUUCCUCCAAUUAGUGUUGUUAUUCCAUCCCAAACCUGAGCUUCCUUUGUUUCCAACUGCCUGUAAUGGUUCCGUUAAACCACCCUUCAUGCUGCUCCCAAGUGUCUCUCCCUGCAUCAUGUAAAACAGGGUUGGCUUAUCUUUUUUACCUGGACUAAAUAUAAACAAAAUAUUUAUGUUUACCUCCUUCCAGCCCAUGUUUUCUAGCAUCCGUCUAGCAUAACUACCUACUCCAAAUGACAUAUUCAAAGCUUCAGCUGCAGCAUCUUCUGGAGUUUCAAAAACAGGAGAUAAUGCUGAACAAGAAUCAAUAUCAUCCGCUGAUUUCUUUUGCCCGGGACCCACACCAAACCCACCAUGAAGACUUCUUCUCUCUGCAGCUCUAUCUCUAUACACCCCUCCCUUAUGCUGACAUCAUUUUACAUAAACAUUUUAACACAAAAUGAUAUAUAACAAAUUUCAAAAUCAAAACAAUCACCUUUUCACUUGAAGACAGUUCCUUUGCUGAUCCAAUAUGGGGUCCCACAUUCUUGGAUUCAACAUGUCGACUAGAUUUGGUUUGGGCUUCCUUGUUUGUUGUUAGCUUCGGGAAGCCCCAAUCUUUGGUUGGGUUUGAGGAAUCAUAAGAUGACAAAGUAGCUAAAUAUGCAACUUUUGGACUCCUCAACUUGUAUACACGACCUGCACCAAAGAUAAAGAAAAGUGAAAAAGACGUGAAUGCCCUCCUCAAUUUGUACUGUGUUGGACUAAUAUCAAUGGGACAUACAAUUUACUUUUUUGUCCCAUCCAAAAGACCUGCUCUAAGUCUCUUGCCUGUGCAAUGACAUAAAUGCCCUCCUGAUACUCAUGUUAAAGAAAAAAAAAACCCAAAAGAGCUUUAAGUAGACAGACGAACCUGAUCUAACUCUUACUAGAUCAAGAUGGGCUUCACAUAUUGGAGCGGUUUUUAGAAGGGGGCGACUUGAAGGCAUUGAGGGGUGGAGUUUAGUGGACUUUUUGAUUAAUCUGCCUACUAAUCUGCAUACGCGACCUUUUCCAUUCUUUUUUGUUGACAUUACCAUUGACCAAUCCCACAAGUCAACAACAGGGCAAUCUGGUAAAACUACAACCUCUUUGUCUGAUUGGAUUGCCUGACCGUAUUGUGCACGCCACAUUUCUUCAUCCCCAAAAGGAUCUAUAAACCAAUGCAAAAAGGACAAGAAAAAUUUAUUAAUCAUAAUUUCAAGGAGCAAACUAAUAACCUAUAACUUAUUAUAAUUAAUAACCAUCAUAAAGUUGUAUAUAUCGAGGAGCAAAAUUUGGAAAAAUCAUGUUAACCUUCAUCUGAAGCAACUCCACUUCCAUCAACUAUUUCAUGAGUCUCAUCUGGGAUCCAUUCUCCCUCUUCAAGUUCAUAAGCAUCAUCAUUGUCUACACCUGGACAAAGCUACACCUGUUUUAAGUCUUGCAAGAACCAUAUCAAUGCCUAUCUAAAGGCUAACAAAAAGAUCUUUCACAAACCAUCAGCUGGAGUAUUUACAUCUUCACCCCUUGUAUCAGAAGCAUCAUCUAUUGUUUUGUUGGAAUAACCAGACAAAUAAAGUUCAAUAAGUGUGUCUUCUAGCCUAUAAACAAGAAAAGAGACAUCAACCAUAACUUGAAGAAAAAAUAGAAACCAAGAGAAUUCAUUUUUCAAAUAAAAGAAAUAACAUAAGUAUUUAGCAAAAAAAAAGUACCAUUCAGAAGGUGGUGGUAGAUUUUCAGGCAGACCUUCGGUUAAACAGUUCAUAUCAACUGCAAAAAAACCCAUAUAAUUGUUUACUAUUUUAGUAAUCCUGUUUAUUAUAUUGAUUAAUUAUGAAAUUAACAGCAAGAUGAACAAAAAAAGUGAAAUGUAGAUAUGUAAAAUCACCUGUUGGUUCAUUGGGGGUUGCUUCCUCUACUACAUAACCUUCAAUUUCACCAUCUUCAAACUUAACAUCAUUUGUAUUCGUAUCGCAAGGUGCAUUUUGGUAAGACUGUUCAUGAACAGAAUCAUCACCGACAGUACCUAUGCCUUGAUUUGCAUUUGAUUCAUCAGCCUGAAAGUUAGAAGUUACUCAAAAUUGAUACCAAAACUAAUAAAUUGGGAAAGAACACCUGAAAAUGUAGAGGAAGAGGAAGGGAUUUGAACUCACUUGGUCUGUUUCCCAUGGCACAUAACUCCCGUUUUCGAAUUUGUAAUACAGACCAUCGUUGCUGCUAUAAUACCAGCCCACAGCUGGGUCAUGAUAGAACCCACUACUGCAAGAAAACGAAAGAGUGUUUCGGUUUCCACUUCAUAAGAUAGUAAAAUGACAGGAUGGAUGCGAUUUUGAAAUUGAAAUGAAAUCCACUGAUCGAAAAUAGAAAACGUACAAAUCAUUAAAUUGAAAAAACCCUAGCGCUUACGGCUUACUCAUAGUCAUUAAUCACCAAAAUCAAGUUUUAAAAAAAAAUCAAAUUCUGAAUAUUAAGAUAUACUUCAACAUGAAUGUAUUUCACAACACAAUCGAGUCAGCUGACUCGACUGUAGUAAGACGUUCAGAAACUCUUGAAAUCCUUGAUGAAAAAGUAGAAUUUCACAACAAUUGAAAACGAAGAUUACAUGAACUCAUUUAUAACCUGGCAUGGUAAUACAGCUGUGACUGUUCAUCCCAUUGAAAGGAAUCUUCGUUUUCUUGAGAAUUGAGUUCGUUGGUUCCCGCCAUCUGUGAUUCCCCUUUUCCUCUCCGCCAUCCGCCGUCGCACUCGGAAAAUUUUGAGUGGAGCUCAGCUCAAACCUCUGGGCUGCAUAUUUUGGUUGGGUACUUGGGUAAAAUAAAUAUGGACCAUCUAAUAUUCAAAAGGCCCAACACCCACUCCAGUUAAAAUUCCAAUUUUCAAUUUCAAGUUUCAAUCCAAAUAUCAGGCUAGUAAUAUUGACUCGUACGAAUUAAAUUAGAAGGUAAAACUUUUGAAAUGAUUUUUGUUGAAUAGGAUAAACCCAAAAAAAUAUCUCCCUAUCUAAUAAACAAAAUCAACCCUCCACGUGUCAAUUCAAAACAGCAGAAUUAUUCCAAAGUUAAAUACCGAUUAUACCCCUACUUUGUUUCAACUACAAAUCAAAAUAUAUAGAACGCCCUGUUUUCUUUCCAUUUACUCAGUGAUAACAGCUUUACAUAUUAACUCAAAAAUUCAUUACAUACCCGAUUCAAUGCAUGUUAUUAUGGUAUCCAAUUUCUUAUAUAAGGUAUAAUAUCAAUUGCAUUCAAUUUGAUCGUAUUCUGCUCAAUAUAUAAUUCAAACAUAUGAUAUCAAUUGUUUAUUUACAGCAUCGUAUUUCCAAGGUUUACAAUCAUCACAGUUGAAAAUCGUCCACUCAAUCACAGACUUCAAUCGCUUCAGUAACUUUAUAAAAACCUGCUUUCAGAUUGUUUGUUUAUCUUUUGUUUUUUCUUGUUUUUUUUUUUUUUUUUUUUUUUUUUUUUUUUUUUUUUUUUUUUUUUUUUUUNNNNNNNNNNNNNNNNNNNNNNNNNNNNNNNNNNNNNNNNNNNNNNNNNNNNNNNNNNNNNNNNNNNNNNNNNNNNNNNNNNNNNNNNNNNNNNNNNNNNNNNNNNNNNNNNNNNNNNNNNNNNNNNNNNNNNNNNNNNNNNNNNNNNNNNNNNNNNNNNNNNNNNNNNNNNNNNNNNNNNNNNNNNNNNNNNNNNNNNNNNNNNNNNNNNNNNNNNNNNNNNNNNNNNNNNNNNNNNNNNNNNNNNNNNNNNNNNNNNNNNNNNNNNNNNNNNNNNNNNNNNNNNNNNNNNNNNNNNNNNNNNNNNNNNNNNNNNNNNNNNNNNNNNNNNNNNNNNNNNNNNNNNNNNNNNNNNNNNNNNNNNNNNNNNNNNNNNNNNNNNNNNNNNNNNNNNNNNNNNNNNNNNNNNNNNNNNNNNNNNNNNNNNNNNNNNNNNNNNNNNNNNNNNNNNNNNNNNNNNNNNNNNNNNNNNNNNNNNNNNNNNNNNNNNNNNNNNNNNNNNNNNNNNNNNNNNNNNNNNNNNNNNNNNNNNNNNNNNNNNNNNNNNNNNNNNNNNNNNNNNNNNNNNNNNNNNNNNNNNNNNNNNNNNNNNNNNNNNNNNNNNNNNNNNNNNNNNNNNNNNNNNNNNNNNNNNNNNNNNNNNNNNNNNNNNNNNNNNNNNNNNNNNNNNNNNNNNNNNNNNNNNNNNNNNNNNNNNNNNNNNNNNNNNNNNNNNNNNNNNNNNNNNNNNNNNNNNNNNNNNNNNNNNNNNNNNNNNNNNNNNNNNNNNNNNNNNNNNNNNNNNNNNNNNNNNNNNNNNNNNNNNNNNNNNNNNNNNNNNNNNNNNNNNNNNNNNNNNNNNNNNNNNNNNNNNNNNNNNNNNNNNNNNNNNNNNNNNNNNNNNNNNNNNNNNNNNNNNNNNNNNNNNNNNNNNNNNNNNNNNNNNNNNNNNNNNNNNNNNNNNNNNNNNNNNNNNNNNNNNNNNNNNNNNNNNNNNNNNNNNNNNNNNNNNNNNNNNNNNNNNNNNNNNNNNNNNNNNNNNNNNNNNNNNNNNNNNNNNNNNNNNNNNNNNNNNNNNNNNNNNNNNNNNNNNNNNUAAUUUACUUAAAUCGGUUUUUAUGCAUAUUUUGUUAUAAAUUCGUUUUUAACAAUAAAACUUUACAAAUAACCCACAAAAUAUUACUGAAGUUUCAAUAAAUAAUCAUUCAACCAUAUUCACGGCCAUAAUAAACUUUGUGUUCCACGAAGGGUAAAAAAUUAUGAAGCAAAAAAAUUUGAUUAUUUUAUUUUAUAAUAAUUUAUUUCUGCAUUUACGUAAAUAAAAAAACAUUAAUCCUUUAAUUAAUAAUUUAUUGAAAAUGAUUGAUUCAUAAUUAUGAGUUUUAACUAUAAAAACUUAUUUAUUUUUAAAAUAUUAUAAUUAUUAUAUGUUUAGGAAUAUAUUUAUGUAACAUUUUUUAAAAAUUAAUUUGUUGAUGUUAAAAAUUAAAAUUCUGAAGAAUUAAAGUCAUUUUUAGGAUACAGUUAUGAUCGGAUUUAGGUAAUAAUAAACAAACUGCUUCAUGAACAUAAACUUGAUAAUUAUCAAUAGACUUUCGUUUUAUGUGUCAUAUAGCAUCUAUUCAAAUUUAUAUACUUUUUUACAAAUAUAUAUUAAUAUUAAUUUUAAAUAAUCAAUAGAAAAAGUGUUAAACAAAUUUAACUCUUAUUAAUAAUAUAAUUUUUUUAUAAAUUCUUUACCCGUGGUUCCCACGGGUUGUAACCUAGUAUAUAUAUAUGAUAAAGCUAUUAAACGUAUGUAAAAAAUUUCAAUAUUUUUUCCAUAAAAGACACUCAUAUUCCAGGUAGGGCAUAUAUAUUAUUCGUAAUAAAUAUGACUAUAUGAGGUAGAAUACAUUAAAACCUUUAUUGCAUAUUGACGUUGUAGUUUAUAGAAUAUAUAUUUUCGACAAGAUAGAUCAUUACAUAGAGGUGACAUUAUUAAGACCAAUUUACCUAUUAAUGGAUUGAUUAGAGUUGUAUUUUGUAAGUGUGCUCGUAAAUUUUAAAAUAAGUAUAAUCUUUUGAUAUAAUCUUUGAGGGAGGUCGAAAAAAAUCAAACAAACAUCAUUAAAAAGAAGUAAAAAAACAAAUAGUGUUAUCAAAUAUCACUGACACUAAAAUUUCACCAUCCCGAUCCUAUAAAAAUAAUGGGACAAAUGAGAGGCAAGAAGUACGCUUUUAAUAAUGAUCUCCGGCAUAAAAAAAAUGUUAUCAAAUAUUCGGUGUGCUAAUCAUAUAACGACGAUUGUUAAAUGAUAAGCUUAAUUAAACAUGUUAAUCGUUAAAUAAAAAGUACUUUAACAUCAGCAUUAUUCUCCUAAAAAAAAGCAUAAUUUGAAAUUUCGGUUUUUUAUUUAAUAGUACGUUGAAAAAUAAAAUGAACUUUUAUUAAACUGAAAAACCGAAUAUUUUAACGGUUUGGUUAAUCUAAUAACCGGUACGGUUUUCCGUUUUCAUAUAUAUUGAACACCCCUAAGUUUCUUUUCAACGUCUCAAAUAUAUUUAACAUACCUAAAAGUAAGCGGUUUAAAAUUCGGAGAAAAUAAUUUUGUACGGAAAUGAACUAUCACUUUUAUACAUAUUUAGUUGCUUUCUUAUUUUUUGUAUAUGAUUUACCAUUAAAUUCGUCGUUUAUGAAAUACUAUUUUGACAAGCUAUUAUAGGUCUAGUUGGUUUAUCUAUCAAAAAACACUACUAAACUCACAUUUAUUAUUCAAGAAACAUCAUUAAACUUACAUUUUUAUAUACGAUGUAUCAUUUAAACUAACUUUUGUAUACAUGUACUCACUUUCAUCUUUCCAAGCAAUCAAUAAUUUUUUGGUAAUAUUCUUCGCCCAACACAAUUCUAAAGAAAAGAGAACAUUAUUUCACAUAUUAUUUUUUUCAGUAAUAUUCUCAGGUGAAAAUGUCCACACACCCUCUUUUUACUACCGCUAACAUCUCUUCUGCCGCCAUCUAUACAUUUCUCUCCUCAUCUCCCUAUUUUGUUACAUCGUGAAGACAACCCUACAUCUACAUCACUAUAGUUAUCACCUUCGUUCAAUAGUUUUAGAUUAGUUUUGUGGUGGUGGAUGAGAUGGGUUGUUGUGGUGGCAAAUGAUAGUGAUAGAAGGUAAUUUUGUUGCUCAAGGUUGACAUUAUUGGUGGGAGGUGGAUGAUGAUGACCGGAGAAGAUGAUUAAGAUAUAGUUUAAUGAUAAAUCAUAUAAAAAUAUUUAAUGGUAAAUUGUGUAUAAAAAAACAUUAAUCACUGCUUGGUUAAAAUUAUAGUUUUUAAAGAUGUCACUUGAAUUUAAUGAUAAAUCAUAUAUAAAAAUAAUCAAAUAUAUAUAAAAAAAAUGAUAGUUCAUUUAUUUUACCUUUAAAAUUUUGCCAAAGUUAAUGUGUACAGAAUAAAAGAUUAUUACUAUAUUAUACAGUUUCUUUAAUUAUAUUCGAUACAUGAUACUUUAUAAAAUUCGAACAUAGACAAAAAUUAUUAACUCAACCACAACUAUAUUAAAUAAAAUAUCCUUGAUUUUGAACCCGUAACAUCAUUAACUUUUGGAAUUUAUGAUAGCAAAUACUAUUUUGAAGGUAAAGGAUAUGAGAAAAUAUUAAUACGAGUAUUAUUUCUAUGUGGGACAAUAUCUAUAAAUUCAACACAAAUAAAAAAAUUAUCAUUGACGAUUUUCUUUUAAGUUUUAACAACUAAAUGUUAAAAAUAAUAGCUAAACAUGUUAUCAUAAUUUGCUCAGAAAUCAAAACAUAAUGUUAGUUCUUCUCAGUAUGACUAUAAAACUAUUAAAUUAGAUAUAGAUCGAAGUAUAAGAAGAAAAUAAGAGUUGUGACUCACUGCAAUUGCACAUAUAAAAAGUGGCCCAUUUACGAACCUCGAGUUUGACUGUUUGAGUUUAACACAAGGUUAAAGUUGGAUGCAACAACUCUUAGUUUAAUUGGGGUUUUCAAUGUAGUCUUAUUUCAUAUUCACCGGCCAUUGUUAUAUAUCUCACCCAUGGUAACGUCUGAUAUGCACUUUUUUCAAUAACUUUUAGGUGACGUACCUACAAACAUUAUCUAUAUUAGUAUCAUAUUAGGAUUUGUUAGUAAAGUGUGUCACUCAACCAACUGGCUUAGGGUUAAAGCCUCUAUUUAAGUGGAUAUAUAUACAGUUAUAUACCUGAAUCCCAGAUAUAGUAAAAUAUGGUAUUUCAAACUUGACACGAAUUGGAGCUUUUUUGUCAGGAGUUGCAUCUUCGUAAGUUACACUCGGGAGUUUAAAUUCAGCGCCCAACAUAUAUUCCUGUCAUUGUUCAUGUUGAUGUUUAUGAAAACAAGAAGAAACCCGAGUUGCAUCUCUUACAACAAGAUUUGAUACGACUAAACAAACUUUUUAUGGUUACUUUUUAUGACGAUGAUAAGAAGGGUAUUUACAUCUUUUGCAUAAAACACAUAUCUCUCCCUAUCCUCCACCUUUUUUGGUUGGGACAAAAAAUUACAAUUUUUUGUCCCAUGUUCAUCUCAGUCUGAUGCACGCCAAAAGCAGUACAACCUGAUCUGUUAUGUCUUGUCUUGUGCAACAGAUGUCAAGAAAUCAAGGUUCAUAGAUGGUGAUAAUUCAUUCCUUAAUUACCUUGUCACCUGGGAAGGUUCUGAUUCUCCAUAUAAGUGAAUCUUGUUCAGGAGCAUAUGAAGCGGACCCCAUUGAUGUCCGAACAAUAGGUUUUGUAGCAUCGGAUGGAACAGGUAUUUCAAUUUGGACAUUUGUUGCAUUGCUAUAUUCAAAAUUAUUAUUUGAGUCAGAAUUUUCAAAAUCAUGGAUUCAUUUUCAUGGUAUAACAAAUACCUUCGUUCCCUAAAUUGGCUUCUAGCUUUUACGAGCAUCUCAAUCCUACUUCUAGCAUGUCUUUCAACUUGAGCCUCAACCCAAAUCAGUGGUUUCACCUACCAACAUAUUGAGUGAAAUUUAGAAGAAACAAAUCUAAUUAAUCACAAAAAUAAAGCUAAAGAUAACCUGAGUACUGAGUCUAUAUGUCAUGAGAUCAAAUGAUCCAUCAGGAGGAAUAAAUGAUAUUGUGCGAUCAGUUUCAAAGCGGGCUAAACGUACACACCUAUAAAUAUAUACAAUAAUUAUGUAAUUAUGGUAUUCUUUUAAUAACAUGCAUAUUGAUAAAAUGAGCACUAAAAUUGCAAAAGCUUACUGAUGAAAUCUGAUGUCUUCCAAAUCAAUGCUUUUUCCUUUUGUUGCUCUGCUUUGAGCAUCCAUUAUAACUCUAUCAUUAAGCCCAAGCUUGCAUUCAGGCAUUCCACUAUGAAAAAUGACAUUUGUUUUUGUCAAAGUUAGGCUAAAAUCUCAAUUAAAAAGGUACAUCACAACCAUAAUCAUUAAUCACCUUACACAUGCUCUCAUCUUUAAUGCCCCAACAACUUCUGAUCGAAGUAUUUGCCUGUUACUGUUGAUUAAUAUGUUGAGACUUUCAAUCACAUCUAGGAACACCUGAUAGAAAAAAAAAUGUAGAUUGCAGUGUUGAACUUGUGAUAUCAAUGACAUAAAGUUAUCAUCAUAGCCAAAUGAAAAAGAGGGUCAUACUUCAUUCUUUUUGUAGUAUAUUCCUUCAUUUCGCCAAGAGACUGCAUUAGUGACAGCCAUUGGAGGCCUUUGUGUAACUUCUAACUUAUAAGCAUCAGUUUUGAUAAAUUCACUUAGAAUCAUUGCUUCUGUAUAUUGUGGGUAUCCAAAGUCCAUCAUUUCAUCUAGUAACUCAUACUGUGAUAUUUUUCUAAGCAAGAUCAGCCUAAAUGUGCAAUAGAUUAACGAAAAUAUUUAAUCAAUUAAGUGAAAAAAAGAAUUUGGUUCUUACCACUACAACAAAAUUAUCUCUAAGAGAUUCCUCUUCUAACUCUCCAAAAUAAUACUCAAAAACCUGCAUUAUGUGAUGAACUAUUGGUAAUAAUGGCAUGAUCAUAUUAACUAUAGGAAAAAGCAGAACUUAUAAUUACAACUAAGAAGUAAGAAAUAGUAAAGUGUACUCACACUAGCUAACCGGUGGAGAAAUACAAUGAGGCUAGCAACAUUACAGUUUUGUCUGGAUACAGCCAUUAAGUAGACAUUGUUGUGUUGAAUAAAUAUAUGAGAGACACCGCUGUCGAACACUAUUGGACCUUGAGACUCUAUGUCCUCCUAAUUGAAGAUCAUAUGAGAAAAAAAGUGUUAGAUAAAUCAAUAUUAAGUUAUAUCACACAAUAUUGCCACAAGUUCUAGUAAGUGAUAACUAUGAUGAAGUUUUCAGUCGUGGACUACUUGAUCUUUAAUAUAUGAUAGUACAAUUGUAUCACCAGAAAUGUGAAAUCCAACCACUCUUUGAUACAAUUAGAAUCGGUAUGCACUUCGAAGAUGUUUGGUUGCCAAAAAAACUAGAACUUCAAAUUCUAUUUUACGAUAUAGAAAUAUAUGCAAAAGUAAAGGAACACAUAUAUUUGGAUCGAUACUAAUUUCAUGGAGUACCUCAUUCUCGAGGAGUUUAGUGAAGAACCUCUCCGCGUCAACAGAUGAAAUGUCACCGCGAUAGUGACGACUGAGCAAGCAACGUCCCUUUAUAUCGAGAAUGAAAAGCGCGGAAACGGCUCCCGCCAUUGGUCUCCAUCAAUCAAACCACAAGAUAAACGAAUAAUGUGAAAAUGAUGAAGAAAUUGAAGAUUUGUGAAAAUUAAGUUGAAUCAAGAGUAUUCUUACCAAUGAAUAAGUACAAUUUACUGGAAGAUCAAUGCCAAUAGUAUAGAGCAAAUUCGUUACGAAGCCAUUUUGAAUUACAUAUCACCCGAUCGCACCAACUUUGGGGUUUUUUUAUGAUGGUAGAAGUUUGGAGACGGAGGUAACGGGUGGAGAACCCAUGAAUGGUUGUUACUUGUGUUGGUAAAUUUCACGUUUCGCCCUUCUAUUUUUAUUUAAUUGUAAUAUUUGACUAAAGCUAUUUUAAUAUCCAUAAAAAUAUAUAUAUAACUUCUAUUAUGUAAUUAACUAUAAAAACAUAGCUUAUAAACAAAAUUGUUUAUUGAUCAAUCUAAUGAAAAUAUUAAUANNNNNNNNNNNNNNNNNNNNNNNNNNNNNNNNNNNNNNNNNNNNNNNNNNNNNNNNNNNNNNNNNNNNNNNNNNNNNNNNNNNNNNNNNNNNNNNNNNNNNNNNNNNNNNNNNNNNNNNNNNNNNNNNNNNNNNNNNNNNNNNNNNNNNNNNNNNNNNNNNNNNNNNNNNNNNNNNNNNNNNNUAUAUAUAUACACCGUUGAAGCGUACCGGCGCAAUGGCAAAACGUUAAGAACACAAAAAUAACAUGGACCACACAUUUCUCAUAUACCGUUGAAGCGUACCGGCGCAACGGGAGAGGUAAUAUUCAUAUGUGAAUACAAAAUUAAGUUUAUUUAUAUAUGAUUAUGUGACAUCCCCAAAGCCACAGCCAUAAUAGACCAGUUUCAUUUAUGCUUUUAAAAUAAUUUCAGAGUAAAUCCUUUUGAUUUAAAAGAGUUGCGGAAUUUGUUCCCAAAACAAAAUAUGAUAAAAUAAAGUUUAUCAAAGCAUUUCAUCAAGAGAUGCAUUUUCAUUAUAUAACAAUAUUCAAGAUGUCAUGUUCCGAUAAACAGACCAAAAGCAUAAACAACAAAAGAUAGACUAUACAACAGUUACAUAUAACAACUGGUCUAAUAUCACAAGAUCUUGAUAAGUCAUCCAACUUAUGCUCCCGCGCCACUACCUGUAAUACAAAAAAACUGCGUGGGUCAGGCUUGGGAGCCUGGUGAGCAUAUAGGGUUUUCAACCCACAAUAAAUAAUUAUAUUUAGUAUCACCAACCAAUAAUAACCCGAUUACCCAUUCCCGUUAUCCUCACUUUACGUGCCUAAAACAACAUCUAUCUCAAGGGACCUAGUCUAGGAAUUUAUCGGAAUGGACUUUACCGCGAGGGGUUUCCUCAACAAUAAAAGUCUUAAGGCAACCAUGAGGGGGGUAGAGUACACCAGUGAACAUAUCGUUCACAACACCUACAGGUUAUGAACCUGCUAGCGUUCCACAAGACUGUCUAGAAAGAGUCUGUGGUCGUUAUCCAUACUCCGCUGAAUAACUAGAUCAACAACAACAAAAUCGAUGCCUCUCAUCUGUUUAUCACACAUCAACUAUCUACCCAUGUUCUACCCAACAUAUUAGUAGAUAAAAAUAUAUAUUUUUAUAUAUAGUUUAAAACCUGUAUAUCAUUCUCAUUCAAUACAUAUUCCAAACAACAGAUGAGACACAUACACAUAACACGUAUUUCAUAGAGAAUAAAUCAUAUCUAUGAGAUAGAAGAAAGUGAAUAUACAUUCACACAUACAACAACAAAAUAUACUCAUAACAUGUAUUUUGUAUAAAAUACUUCAUAAUUAUGCGUUAGAAAAAAGUAACUACACACUCACCUGAUCGAAAGAUGAUCGGACAGUACUACGACUUGUAGAAGUAGUAUUCUUCGGUAGAUCUUGAAGAUAUUCACAAAAAUUGGCUUCUCGCGAGCAGAGCUUCGACUCGGGAAUUUCACUUCUCGGGAUCUUUGGGGCUUAGGGACUUGCUUUGGGGCUCGGGAUUGAUACUGGGGCUUCGGGAUAUUUAUUGCACGAAAAACGAUGCAAAAACGAGAGAGAAAGAAGAGAAAAGGAGCAAAGAACUCGGCAGCCUCGACGUCCUUUUAUAGGGGGCUGGAACCUUUGAUUACGCUAGGCGUAAUCCUAGGUACGUUGGGCGUAACCCGGAUAAGCCCAGGGACUCCCCCCUUUGGAUAAUAUCCGAAUUUAUAUUUAAAUUUAAUAUUUUAAUUAUUUAAUAAACUUCAAAAAUUCAUAUCUUUCUCAUACAAACUCCGUUUUCGACGUUCUUUAUAUCCACACGUAGGUGAGACUACGCUCUACAACUUUCAUUUAGACUCUGUCGGCUAAUUUUGAAUUUAUUUUUAUUAUUUAUUUUUAGUAGGUCGGGACAGUAAAACUCCGCUAUAAAUUCAUAACCUCUUCAUCUGACGUCCGUUUUCGUCUGUCUUUUCACCAAUGCACUACUAUCAACGUAAUCUUCAAUUCUCGUUUAGAUUGUUUCGACCAACAAUCACUCGAUCUCGAAUUCAAGUUUCGGACUGCAUACUGCUAAGCUGAAACUUAGAAAAAUCAUAACUUCCUCAUACGAAGUCAGAUUUGGGCAUUUUUUUUAUGCACGUUCUCGGUUUAACGAACUCUACGAAUUUCGUUUAGAUCCCUAAGGUUAAAUAUCGCUCCAUCGUAAAUUCACCUNNNNNNNNNNNNNNNNNNNNNNNNNNNNNNNNNGUCGGUUCUGUCGCGAAACUUCGACAGAUCAUAACUUCUUCAUUAUAAUUCAGAUUUCGGCAUUCUUUAUAUAUUCGGAAACCACGUUUCAACCACUACAACAUUAUCCAUAGAUAUCAGCUUUAUCUAACAUUUCAUUUUGACGCUUAUUUUCAUACUUAAUUCAAUUAAGUCACACAGCUAAGCACAUAACACAUAUUACUCAAAUAAUACACUUCUAUUAUUUCAAAACGGGCUACAAAGGUUAACGUAGACUAUUAUAUCAACGUUAAUGACAAGCCCAGAAACACAGUCCUUACAAUUCUCUCCACCUUAGAAUGAUUCCAUCCCCGGAAUCACACACCAACAAACAAAUGUGAAUAGCGACCCAUCAUGUCACUCUCCGUGUCCCAGGUAAGAUUUAGCCCAUUCGUGUGUUUCCAUUGGACAAACACUAACUCGACCAUCUUGCGUCGGAACUUCUUAGUCUUUCGGUCAACGAUUGCCUCUGGUUCUUCAAUCAACCUUUUGUUCUCAUCGAUUCUCAACUACGAAAGUGGAAUCAUGUCGGGAACUUCUCCCGUGAAGUUUCUCAAAUAACACACAUGGAAAGUGUUAUGAAUUCCAUUCAGUUCUUCUAGUAGUUUGAGCUUGUAAGCUUGGUUCCCAAUCCUCUGAAGAACUUUAAACGGUCCAAUAAACCUUGGACUUAAUUUUCCCAUUUUACCAAAUCUUAUAAGUCCCUUCCACGCCGAAACUUUAAGCAAAACCGAAUCUCCAACUUCAAAAGUCAUCAGUCUUCGCUUGUUGUCAGCAUAACUCUUUUGACGAUCCUGAGCUGCUAACAUUCUCUCCCUAAUUAUUUUCAACUUUUCAGCAGUUUGAUGGACUAUCUCUGGUCCCAUAAACUGUUUUUUCCCAGCCUCAAGCCAACAAGACGGCGUACGACACUUUUUUCCGUACAAAGCUUGAUAAGGCGCCAUCUUUAUGCUCGAGUCGAAACUAUUAUUGUAGGAAAAUUCUACCAAAUGUAAAUGUUCAUCCCAAUUACCUAGGAAUUCUAGAGUACAUGCUCUCAGCAUAUCUUCAAGUGUUUGUAUCGUUCGUUCGUUCUGACCAUCAGUCUGUGGAUGGUAAGUUGUACUUAAACACAAUUUGGUACCCAAUUCCUCUUGUAUACUUUUCCAAAAUCGUGAGGUGAAACAGCUGUCACGAUCUGACACAAUCGUUAACGGAACACCGUGAAGCCUCACAAUUUCCUUCACGUAAGAAUUCGCAAGCUUAUCCAUAGAACAUUUCUCCUUGGCUGCUAUGAAAUGCGCACUCUUAGUGAAUCGAUCAACGACCACCCAAAUCAUGUCGUGACCAUUCUUUGUUUUGGGUUGUUUAGUGACAAAAUCCAUAGCAAUGUCUUCCCAUUUACCCAUAGGCACAGGUAAAGGUUCUAAACUCCCGUUUGGUUUCUGAUGUUGUGUCUUAACUCUUGCAUAAGUCACACACUCCGCCACGUACUUUGCAAUAUCAAGCUUCAUCGUCGGCCACCAGUAAUAGGGUUUUAGGUCCCUAUACAUUUUAGUGCUACCGGGAUUAAUCGAGUACAUGGUUUUGUGAGCUUCUUACAUCAGUAAAUCUCUGACUCCUCCCGUCUUAGGUAUCCAAAUCCGAUCUUGGAACACCUUCAGUCCAUGACUGUUUAUAUCGAACACCAACGUUUUGCCCAAACGUUCUUCUUUUCGAUCAUUCUUCACAUAAGCUUCCUCUUGAGCUUUCUUUAUACUUUCCACUAUUGUCGAGACAACUUCUAUUCUCAACGCUCUUGGCAUUUUUCUUUCAAGAUUGACUUUCCAACUGAGAGCAUCAACAACAACAUUAGCCUUACCGGGGUGGUAAAGUAUCUCACAGUCGUAGUCCUUAAGUAACUCUAGCCAGCGUCGUUGCCUCAUAUUCAAUUCACUACUAGAAAACAACCCUUUAAUGACGCGCAAACAAUGACACUCGCUAAUAGAGGACGCGCAUUUGUGUGUGCUCUAAAAAUAAUGUCAUCUCUCUUAAUUUUAAAGGAUUUAGGAUACGCAUUUUUGCGUGACCUGAAAUUAGUGUCUAAACAAAAAAAACACGGAGGGCACCUAUAAUAAAAUGUGCAUCGUCUAAGGCUGUCGCUUUAUAAAUUUUAAUAGCACGCGCUUUUCCGUCCCCAAGAAAAAUGAAAUCCCAAAAACUUAAAAAUCCCGCCUUCCUAUUUUUAAUAGCUAGGGUUUUUUCUCAAGAGCUGCCCCCGCCUCCUUCCUCUACUGCACGUUCUCUCUUCAAUUUCCCUUUCUCUCUUUCUCACUUCGACAAAACCCUUUCUCUUCUUCUUCGUUCUCGACGUCGACAGCUUCUCCCACCUCCGACGUUUCUCUUGGCGCCGGCGCCUCCGACCUCUGACCUCCGUCCAGCCCUGCCUCGUCGUCGAGCUCUUUCCAGCGACACCCAGCCGGUGGAUCCCCUCCUUUCCGACGCUUUCCAGCGACACCCAGCCGGUGGAGUCUCUAUAAGAUGUCUUCUCUCACAUUUGUAUCCAUCAUUCUCUCAUAUCUCACGUCCUUUGUCUCUGCCCCUAACCCACCACCACCGCCUCCAACACUCACCGUCUAUUUUGCCCUCACACAACGGCGGUGCACCGUCCCUAUCAACGAACGCUUCAUCCACCACCAUUCUUCCAAUCAUACGAGCCAAUAUAAAGUAGAUAGAAAGUUUUCAAAUUCGAGAGUUAUCGUAUCCAGAACAUCAGAAAGGGUUAUUGUGUUCUAUUGUGUCUCAUGAUUGAUGCUCCCUUCUCCUCCUUUAACGAUUGAGUAGCAAGUCUUGGCAAUCAUCUCGUGGAUGUACUCAGAAAACGGUCAAAAUUUAAGUGACGUAAUAAAAGGUAUGCGACAAUGGUCUGUGUGUGUGUGUGUGUGUGUCGUAGAUUCCUCCUCCAUUAGUUGAUUUUGGUUUUCUUUUGUUGAAGAUGGGUUUUGAUAAGUGUUGUGAUAUAUAGAGAGAAGGGGGAUUUAGGGUUACGAUUUAAUCCAACAUAAUGAUUGUGAUGCAUAGUUUGAAGAGUAUCGUCUCUGGUCGUACGUCCUUUCAAUUCAGGGUAACACUUCACGAUUCUCAUUAAACUCAAAUCACCUACACAACAUAAACUUGUUGGUUUUGUUGUACUUUGACAUUCUCCUACUAUAUCAAAUCAUAAGAAAUACACUUCGUCAAAAUCCUCUAGGCAAGUUUUCAACUAUAGAUUUGCGUUAAGUAGAAAGAAACAUAUAUACUAGAAUGUGUUAUAUACCUUGUCAUCUGUAAAUAAUUGAUUCAUUUUAAAAGGUAAUUAUUCUCGUUUCCCAAGGCAAUAGAAAUUUAAGUAUGAUGUUAAUUUCAUAGAUUUGAUUGCUUGUGUAAAAACGUUGUACAUCAUUUGCACUGUCUGCCUCUACAGAUUCCAACAUUUUAAAAGUCAGAUAAUCCAUUGAAAUAUGUAUCUUUAUAUUUUCUUUUAGUCUGAACCAUUUUAUACUCUAUUUUUUUGACUAUAUUAUUUUUAAGAAAUUAAAUAACACAUGCGAUUGAUUAAUCAGUAGAAUUGGUAGGUGUUUAUGAGAUUUGUUCAAAAUUAUUGAAUGUUUUGAACUUUCUGAUUACUUAUUUAUAUGCACAUAUAUCUAAUGGAAAUUUAUUAUUAUAAUGGUUAGGACAUUGGAUGCCUUCAACAAAACAUCAGUACAAGUACAAGAGAAAAUGGGAGUUUGUCUCAUAAUGAAGGGUGUAAGAGUUUCCAUUUAUUUUUAUUUGAGGAAGUCAAUUCAACAAUAUAUUCCUUUAUGCUCUAGAAAUGUAAGUUUCUAUUCAUCGUUUUCAUCUGUGUGUUACUAAAGAUUAUUAUUCAAAUUUAACAGUUUUAGUUUCACUUCUCAGCAUGAAAUCCAAUUCCUAGUAAAUCUCAACCAUAACCUCUUCUAGAUUCCAAAGUUACCCCUGAGGAGAAGGAGAUCGGUCAUAAUCCAAGUUGACAGAAGGGCAAUUCAGGAAUUUCCAGUCAUGAACCUUUAAAGGGGUAAAAUGGAAAAAAAAACCCCAAAUCUCAUAAAGUUAACAUCACUAAUGCAGUGGACGUAGCUGUUUCAACAUCAUAAGCAUUAAAAAUCCACGAGGUAGUAGUGAAUUGUGUGUCUAUGUUUAGUUUCAUGGGUCAGCUUCAGAAUGUGGCCUUUAAAUUUGCACGCUAAGUGUUUGUGAAAAGUCCUUAUCAAUGAUUUGGUAUUUAGAGGCACCUUUUCGGAUUGAGAAAAAUGGGCCUUCUUGAAUUGAUCUAUUAUAAUGUUAGAAAGGGUUAGAAUUUAGAAGAAUUAAAUCAAUUUAUAUGAAAGUUUGAUUUUGUAAAAAAAAUAUGAAUGUCUUAGCUUUGUUGUUUCUCUCUCAAUUUCAGAUGAUUCAUUAUGUAAAAAAAAGGAUAGAAAUUAAGUUCACAACAAAAUUGUUCCUUUUUUUGCUUUUAUGUUUAUCUGGUUUUACAUAGAAGUUUCAAUUCUGCCCCCUAGUUCUAAUCGUCGUAUUCCACUAUGUGCACAUACGGUUCUUUUGUCAGCUGCGGUUUAUGGAAGCUUAGUAGUAAUGCUUGUAUUUCUACCGGUUAAACUUGCCAUGCAAAUGGCUCCUAAUAUCUUUCCUCUUGAUACAUAAGAAUAAAAUUAAUUUUUUGUAUUAUUUGAUGUGCUUAUUUUGCGUACAUAAUUUUUUUUGUAUUGCAGAAUGUCAGAUAUGCAUUCGAUCAAAUACUGGAGUGGGUUGGGCACUUGGGCUAACCGACUUCUUGCUGCCCGGACCUGAAUAUCACCCUGGACCAGCAAAUGGAAAUCGGGAUCUAGGCAAGAUCUAGAUCGGGAUCAGGCCAUAGUUAAUCCUCCAAAAGCUGAUGUGGAUGAACAAACUGAUUCAGAGUAAGUGUUUGUUUGUUUUUUACUUAAUCAGCUUAAUUUGGACAUGAUUAUCUAGCAUUAUAAACAAGACCACUAUAUACUACUUUUCAUUCCAUAACUGUCUGGAAAGCAGUAGAUACUCCGAAUCAGCUUAAAAUUCUUACUUUUUGUUUUGAGUGUAGGAGCUUUAUAUAUGGUGAACUUUAGUGCUAAGAACACCAUACCUAUGAAUUUUCAAUAGAGGAAAAUAUAUGAACACAAUGAACAGGUAUCAAUUUAUCUAUCUUAGUGACAUUUUUGUAAAUAGUCAUCAGUUAAUGUGAAAGCCUUGUUUUCUUGACUUUUCUUACAAAAUCAAAAAGAAACAAGGAUAUAAAGUAUGAUAAUUAGGUAGUGGAGUAGAAAUGUAAAGCCUCUGAUAAAUUUCUUUAUGACGAAAAUACCCUCAUUGUGUACAGGUGUCACAACCUUGCAUAUGUCCAGAUCUAGGGCUACCAUUUGUGCACGACCUGAAAAAAGAAAGGCAACAAGUAGGGGAAAAUGCAUGAAAAAUAAGAGGAAGAAACAAGGCAACCAAUAAAGGUAAAAAAUGUAUUUAUUUGAUAAUACAUUUUCUUAGUCCAUAUAUGUUGGGGAAUGAUUCUUGUCUUAACACAUUGCCUCCACCUAAAUGGAAACAGAAUAUUGAUUCUCCUGUAGUUAAGGCUACCAUUGAUGAUUUUAAUAAUAAUAUUUUACAAGAAUUUGUUGUUAAUCUAUGGUAUUCAGAUAUAACACCUGAUAAGGAAGCUCCACAACUCAUAGAUGCUAUUAUCCUAACAAGGUUUGUAGUUCUAGAAUCCUUUCUUAGUAAGAAAUUUGAAACGUGAAUCAAUUGUGAUGGUGAUAAGUGAUUGUUUCAGGUAUGUAGUUCAACUCGUAAGGAAGCUCCAUAAUUGUGAUGGUGAUAAUUAGUGAUUAUGACCAUCAUAAGAAUAUUUACGUUCAUAAAUAUUUUCAAUUAUGGAUCAACCUCUCUUCUAGACACUAAGUGUAUUCCUAUAUAUUAUAUUCGACUUCACUUUCCAUUACAAAUAAAACAGAAUGCCCACUGAACAACCAGUUCAAGACAUAAAGCACCUGGUAAUUUAUUUUUUACAUUUCUUGAAACUAAUAAACUUUCUUUAUAUAUUUAUUAUUUCAAUUCUCAAAAGCUUUGAAUCGUUUUGAAAGAGAGGAUCCUACAUUCCGUGUUGGAUUGGACCCUGAGAGUGGUCAGGUAUUUAAUAUUCAUAUUUAUUCAUCAAUCAUCAUAAAAAUAUUUAUUUAUUGAAACUAAAUUUUGUGUUAACUUCAGGCAAUUAUAUCGGGAAUGUGAGAGUUACAUUUUGAAGUUUAUGUGGAGGCGCAUUAAGAGGGAAUAUAAGGUACCAUUAUUUUAAUUUUAAAUUUAGCUAAAAAAAUCACUUUCUUUGAAAUGUCUCAACAAUUGUUAUUUUAUUUGUCUAAUUUACUUUCAUGUUGCAAUAGGUUGAUGCAACUGUUGGAAAGCCUCGUGUGAACUUCAGAGAGACAAUUACACAACAUUAUGAGCCUUUUGACUCGUCAUAUUCAAUCCUUUGAUUUCUUAUUAGUGCAGUGCUCGUAUCUGGGAAGUUCUUAAUUUACUAAAUCAUUUUCUUAAUUUCAAGAUUUCUUGAAAUAAAAUAAUAUUUUAUUUUAAUUUACUAAAUCAUUUUCUUAAUUUCAUGAUUUCUUUUCUCUUUCCUAGUAUUAUUUCGAAGAUAGGUAUGAUUUGGUGAAUAUUUGCAUCUGGUUUCAGGGGUUACUCAAGGAAAAUGCAAAUGGUAGCAAAUACUGGGCAUAUGGAGGUGACUUUGGAGAUACACCAAAUGACUUAAAUUUCUGCUUAAAUAGUCUCAUAUGGCCUGGUCGGACUCCUUNAUGAAUAAGAAUACAAUUUCUUGUUGGAAUUCCUUAAAUGACAAAAGUGCCCCUAAGCCAUAACAAAGUUGGUCCACUAGUCUUAUGUAGUGGUCUGUAUGGGCCAUCUAGGGUUUGUUUGAAAAGUAAUCUUUUUGUAGAAAUGACACAAUUACCCCCAAAGGGUGUAGCAUAGUAGCUUCGAGCUUGAGAAAUCAAUUUGUAUGUCUGUUUGACAAGUUUUAUGAUUUGGAUGCAGUAAAGGAGGAAUUGGGCAUGUGCCUUAACAAUUAACUCGAAGCUAACACGCAUACUACAAAACUCUCUUGGAGGCAAUGUAAGAACUGCAAUACUAUGCACUGUGUGCCCUGCACAUAGUAAUGCUGAACAAUCAAGAAACACCCUUCUUUUUGGUUCUUGUGCUAAAGAUGUUAACACAAAUGCACAAGUUAAUGUAAACUUGAUUUUGGAACUCUCAGUCUACCAACAUUAGAGUUUAAUUGGAUGAUUGAAGGUGAUUUUGGUUCUUUAAACGAGACUCAAGAUAUCAUAUUUUGGCAUGGCUAGAAGCUUUGGAGGAAACGAGACUCAAGCAAAAGUAAACACACAGAGAGUUGUUGGCACAUAGUAAGCUAGAUGAUGCAAUUGUAUAUAAAUGAGUUCAUUUUUCUAUAACAUCUACUCACUUUUGGAAUAAUUAUUUGUAUUUGACAUGUUAGUGAAAUGAAUUAUCUUUGUUAUUUAUGGUAUUUUAUUUUGUAUUAUGAGAUUUUUAAUGUAUUAUUUAAUUUGAAAAUUAGUAAAUCUAUAAAUAAUAUUUUUUUUAAACAUUUAAAAUUAUGAUACGCAAAAAUGUGUGUCAUCUUCAUUUAUGACAUGGCCUUUCUUGACAGGGGCUUUCUUGAUACGCAUUGCGUGUCAUUAACACGUGCGUCGUAAGGUUACGACACGCGAAUGCAUGUCGUCUUCCUUUAUGAUAGGGCCUUCCUUGAUACGCAUUGUGUGUCGUAAACGAGCGUCGUAUCUGCGCGUUGUAAAUGCGCGUCGUCUCUCUUUAUGACAGGGCCUUCCUUGACGCGCAUUUGCGCGUCGUCUGAGCCUUUUACGACGCGCAAUGAGCAUCGUAAAAGGCUGUUUUUCUAGUAGUGAUUCCUUCUGAUUAAAGAGAUAUUGGAGACUCUUAUGAUCAGUGAAAAGUUUGCACUUCGUGCCAUAGAGGUAAUGUCUCCAUAUCUUCAGUGCAAAGACUACCGACGCCAACUCCAAGUCAUGAGUCGGGUAGUUCUUUUCAUGCUCUUUCAACUGUCGAGACGCAUAUGCGAUCACCUUUUCCCUUUGGGUCAAAACACAACCCAACCCAACUCCAGACGCAUCGCUAUAAACAACGAAGUCUUCAACUCCAUCGGGUAGAGAAAGUAUCGGUGCCCCGCAUAGCUUCUUCUUUAGCUUCUCGAAUGCUUCUUUAUGCUUAUCACUCCAAGCAUAAGUAGCUCCUUUGUGGGUCAAAACUGUCAAUGGAGUAGUGAUCGAAGAAAAGCCUUGAAUAAACCUUCGGUAAUAUCUGACUAAUCCUAAAAAGCUUCGGAUCUCCGUGGGACUUAUCGGUUGUUCCCACUUCAGCACAGCUUCAAUUUUUAUUGGAUCAACCAUUAUCCCUUCUUGGUUGACCACGUGACCCAAGAAUUGGACUUCUCGAAUCCAAAAAUCACAUUUGGAGAACUUUGCAUACAACUUCUCCUUCCUCAACACUUCCAACACUUCUCGCAAGUGUCUGCCAUGCUCCUCUUGGCUUUUCGAGUAAAUCAGAAUGUCAUCUAUGAACACUAUCACAGUUUUAUCAAGGAACGGAUUACAAACCUUGUUCGUCAAAUCCAUGAAGGCCGCUGGAGCAUUGGUUAGUCCAAACGACAUAACCAAAAACUCGUAGUGUCCAUAUCGCGUUCUGAAUGCAGUCUUCUCGAUAUCUUGCUCUCUUACAUUCAGCUGAUGAUAUCCUGACCUCAGGUCGAUCUUUGAAAAAUAAUUUGAACCUUGUAGUUGAUCGAACAGGUCAUCAAUCCUCGACAACAGAUAUAUAUUCUUUAUUUUUGCCUUGUUCAGCUCUUUUUAAUUGAUGCACAUUCGCAUACUUCCAUCUUUCUUCUUCACCAAUAACACCGGAGCUACCUAGGGUGAUGAACUAGGUCUUAUGAAACCUUUGUCCAAUAACUCCUGAAGUUGCAUCGUUGGCUCCUUCAUCUCUGUCGGUGCCAAUCGGUAAGGUGCCUUUGUUAUUGGUGUCGUCCCUGGUAACAAGUCUAUUCUAAACUCCAUUCGUCUAUCAGGCGGUAAUCCGGAAAGAUCUUCGGGAAAUACUUCCGGAUAAUCACACAUGACAGGAAUGCUCCGCAUCUCCUUUUUAUCCUUCUUAGCAUCGAUCACAAAUGCUAGAUACGAUGUAAAUCCUUUGGCCAAUUCUUGACGAAACCGACCUUGGCUUGGCCGUGCUCGGUUUUGGCAAACUGCUUGGGACUUUNUCCAGAAUUUACUCUGCGUUUAUCUCCAUAUGCCAUAAACGACUCUUUCCCAGGCGGGUUUACUUUGACUAUCUUCUUCUUGCAUAAUAUCUCGGCGUCAUUGGUGCUUAGCCAAUCCAUUCUAAGCACGAUGUCGAAACCGUUAAGUUCGAUAGACAAUAAUUCCUCAUGAAACUUAUUCCCAUUCAAGGCAAUUAAGAUAUUUUUCAUACGAUGGCUAACAGGUACAAACUUGCCACUAGCAACUUCGACGAAUAAAGCAUUAUCUAGUCUAUCGACAGGCAAAGCUAGUUUUCUACCAAAUUCCUGCGAAAUAAAGGAGUAGUUGGCUCCAGAAUCAAAUAAAAUUUGGGCAGGCAAUUCGUUAACGAGAAAGGUACCUGAAGUGACAUCAGCUUCAUCUUUAGCAGCUUCCAGUGUCAUCUGGAAGGCUCUCGCCUUCGGCUUUGGCGGAAUGUUGGGUCUUGCUACCUCCUUCUUUUUCGGGCAAUCCCUAGACAUGUGUCCCUCCUCACCACAACCAUAGCAAACUUUCUUGGUGAGAGUGAAUUCGUUGGCAAAAUGCCCUGGCUUUCCACAUUUGAAGUAUGUGGCCACUACGUCACAUUUUUUGUGAUGCUUCUUGUUACAUUUGUCGCACCAUUUCGCUUCGCCUCCUCCUCCUCUCGAACUAGACUUCAAGAACUUGUUUUUCUUGUUUGACCCUGAAGGUCCAUCGAACUUCCUCUUUUCACCAACCUCUAUCCUUUCCAGACCCUUUUCCUUCUGUUGGGCCUCCACAUUCUUAGCUGCUUGAACAGCUGUUUUUAGAGUGGUUGCUAUCUUGACUAUCGGGCCAAAGUCGGCAGACAGUCCAUUAGUGAACCUCUCAAUCUUGGAGAGUUCUGUUGGCACUAGGUGCGGAAAUAACUUCAUUUUCUCAGUGAAUGCAGUAGCAUAGUCAUCUAUGCUCAUCCUCCCCUUCUUCAAGUUUUGGAACUCAUUGUUCAGAUCAAUCAGAUUUAUCUCUGAACAAUACUGCACCCUUAGUUGUUCCAAGAACUCCUCCCGUGACAUUUUCAGGGCUUCUCCUCGUGGCAUAUUAUCUGCCAACAACUUCCACCAGCUCAAGACUCCAGUCUUCAGUUGUCUAACUGCAAAGACAGUCUUUUGUUUGUUGCUACAAUCGUAACUUUCAAAUAUUAUCUCUAUUUUGGAGAUCCAAUCUAUAAUCUCAACAGGCUUUGGGCUCCCAGAAAGACUUGGCGGCUUGGCGCCCAUGAAAUUCUUGUACAUUCGACCAUCCUUGUUGUUUCCCCUUUCCGGGUCGUUUAUUCGUUCUCCUUGAGUCCCAACUUGACUGACAGCGCGACUAUUGUUUCCUUCCUCCGAUUGUUCGGGAAUCAGUUCGGGUUCCUCAAUGGGUAUGAUUGGUUCGUCCUUAUUUCAUGUAACAUCUGUCGCAUUUCUUCCCUUUGUUCGGCUAACAUAGUCCGAAUCAUGGCUUGCACCCCAGCCAUUAUUAUUGGCUCCGGUGCAGCAGCUAUGAUAGGUAUUGGCUCAAUCACUGGUGGUUGAUUCCUGUUUUCAUCUGUGUUUCCAACGCCACUCCUGGUUCUUACCAUUUUGAUUUACACACUGAAUAAGGUGAAAUUAGAUCCUCAUCCAUGAUAGUACCUACCGUUUCUUUUUUGGGGUCAAUAUCAGCAAUGCAAUUUAUACAACGAUAAACCUAAUCCGAAUUAUAGAGCUACGANUUAUACUUGUGUAUAUAGUUACUAGACUUAUCCAAGUGGGAGACUGUUGGAAUAGUGUCUAAGAUUGCAACUAUAUUAGGAAAGUAUUUGACCUGAUUGUGCAUGGUCCUUUUGGGUUGCCUUCACCAUAGCAACUUGACAGGAUGAUUUAUAAUGAGAGAAGAAAUAUUAUUAAUAUAUUAUGAGAAUAAUAUAAGGAAUAAUAAUAUUGUUAUUUGAUUAAUAUAAGUCAUAAAUUAAUUAGGAAUUAAUUUGGUGACUUAAAGAGAUUAAUUAAAUAAAAGGGCAUAAACUGUCAAUUGUAUGAUAGUUUCACUUUGAGCUAUAAUCCCUUAUGGAUAAGGGGUGGACGGUUUUAGGGCUUUGGAUAGACCUAGAAUUCGUCCAAGGCUUAUCAUUAGGGAGAUUGGAUUGCUUAGGGCCUAAGUUAUCCAAUUAGGGUUUAAGGGUGAAACCCUAGGAGCCUCACUAGUAUAAAUAGACCCAUGAGGUGAAGGAAAUCGACACUCUUGCUUUUGAAGAACCCCUGGCCGACUUCCUCCCCUCUCCUCUCUCUCUCUCUCUGAUCAUCCUCUUGCUAAGUUGGUGUUUGUAAGUCAUUAGAGGAGUGACAAUUGUGACUCUAAGCUCCAAGGACAAGAAGAUUCAAGCAAGCAACUCAAGGUAUUCCUUUAGAUCUGUUUUUUCUUAUGUUAUUACCUAGAUCUAUUGUUCAAAAGUCUUGGAUACAAUGCAUGUUCAAUUAGAGAAACCUAGAUCCAAGAAUUAGGGUUUGUAUGUGCACAUAGGAAUGUUCUUAUGGCUCAAACCCAUCAGUGGUAUCAAAGCCUUGAUUGUUUUCUAUUGAAUUGAUGCAUUGGUUGCUUGAUUGUUGAUUGCAAAAUUCGAUUUUUGUCCUUCUGCCUGAUGAACUCGACGAGUUCCAUAGUGGACUCGGCGAGUAGGCCUCAACUCGACGAGUCCAUUGUGGUGCUCAGCGAGUUCGAGCGUCAGAAAGAGCUAGUUUCGGGAUUUCUUGUUGUUUAUGUUAUGGAAACUUGCCUUUAUCUUAAUGGGUCAAUAUAAAUUUGAUUUUAAUAUAUGUUUGAGUAUAUUCUUGACCUAAUUAAAGAUAUUUAUCAAUUAAUUAAAUCAUAAUUUCCUUAUGUGAUAAUUGAUUGAUUAUUUUAAUUAAAUUGUAAAAUUGUUUUGCAAGAAACAUUUAAAUAAAUCAAAUAAAGAUAAUUAUGAGAUUAAAUGAUUAAUUUGAAUUAUUUGUUAUUUGAUCCCUUAUGUUUUGAAAAGUUUAAAACUUGUCCUCAAGUUUUGAAAUUUAUGUUUUGUGAUUAAAAGUUUAAUUUAGACAAUUUAAAUUUCAAACCCUAGAAUUUUACAAGUUUAAAAUUCAACCCUAUACUAAUAUAAUAUUACAAGAUUAAUAUAUAUAUAUGUAUAAUUAAAAUGCUAGUCUUACCGUUAGUAGGCCUCAUUCACGAAGCCGGUCUAUAAGGUGGGUAUAAGGUUGCGGCCUAUAAAAUGGGGCUUAAUGGGUGUACACUCACACCCACCGCUUGCUUGAUCGGUGGAGGGUCGUAAGCCGAACAGGUAGGCUAGGGCAACCUCAUCUCCUCAUUACAAGUAUAAUAUUGAAAUACAAAGUAACUACAUGUUUUUAAAUUCCCAAUCCUAGUUACUUUAGGAAAAGUGAAUUGAUGCAAUCCCAUGAAAUUGCACUUUGCACCCUUGCUAAGAAGUUAGUGGAGCGUGUGUGGUUUACCGGCACACUAAUUGGUUCUAAGCAAAGGUGGCAAAGGGUGAUUCAUUGUUUAUCAUAGUUCGAUGGAGCGUGUGUGGUUUACCGGCACAUCGAAUAGGUGAUUGUUACAAUGAAGGCACCGUGUAAAUUUGCAUGGUAAUUCACACCCACUUUGUGAUCCUCGAUAUCCCAGUCACAAACGAGAGGGGCAUAUCGAGAUUUAAACAUGCCAUUGAAAAGCUCAAUGAAUCUCAUCAAAACCUAGGAAUUCUCAAUACAUUUAGAGCUUAAGGUUAUGUUUUCAUGGUGGAGAAUUAGUGAAUCGUCAUUCACUUACCUUCAUAUUGUUUGCAUGUUGGAUUACGGCAUCCCUUUUCUAAUAUGUAAAUAUUGUUGUUGGAUCCUAGCCCUAAUUUUUCUUAUUGGGUGAUAAUUAGGGAUUCAUAUUCUAAUCUAUCUUUGUCCUUUCUAUUUGUAGAUGUCGAACGCGAACAACGCUGCUGCUAGUUCAUUCACAUUGAUGAGCCUUUGCCAAAAGGUGACUUUCGAUGGAACGAACUUUAGCGAAUGGAUAAGAUACAUUCGCACGAUUGCUCGCUACGAGGACAAGGAGUAUGUCCUCGAUGAGAAGCUCGAGAAGAUCAACCCAGAAAUCGCUACUCCGGCUGAAAUGACUGCUUUUGAGACUCAUGAACGUGAUGCGACGAAGGUUCAUUGCAUCAUGAUAGCCACAAUGAACGCCGAAUUCCAAAAGUCCUACGAGGACAUGUAUCCGUAUGAAAUGCACCAAGACUUAUUGGAGAGAUACCAUCAAAACGCGAGGCAGGAACGUUACGAGAUCUUCACUAACAUGAUCUCCGCCAAAAUGGGACAUGGAGAAUCUCUAACCGUGCACCUGCAAAAGAUGCAAAGGUAUGUCGAUCAUCUUCGCAAGUUAAAUGUCGACUUUGGGGAAGAUUUGGCUAUCGACAUGGUGCUUCACUCCUUGCCUCAGUGUUACAAUCAACUUAGGAUGACCUACCACAUGAACAAGGAGGAGGUCACCCUAAGUAAGCUCCAAGGUCUCCUAAGGGUUGCUGAGAGCAACCUCAAGGACAAGUCUGUUGCACCAACUCCCAAUCCACCAGCUGCCCCUGUUUUGGUUAUUGGGCAAGGUAGGGGUAAGAAGAGGAAGGCUCCAAGAGCUNCCCUGCCGAGUUUCAUAUUAAUAUAUUAUGACUUUUAUUUACUAUUCUAUUCAAUAAAAGGAAUUCAUAAUCAUGCGGUUAGGAUCGAUCUAAACCAGUCCAUUAUGUAUAUGAUUCAACAUGCCAACGAUUAAACAACUUAUUAGAAAUACAAGACAGCCAAUUAGAAAUGUCACAAAAUCCCCCGCGCUUCGGGGAUGCCCUCAGCGUCGAGGAACAUGUACUAGGGUGUAUGUGCGACUCGUUCAGAUCAUGAACUAGAACAAAGGAAAGAGAGCCAUGUUCGAAUAUCAAUGAUCAAAUAGGAUAGAACGGAAAACGAACUACAUUUCCUAUCUAAAAAUAAGAAAAUGGAGCAUAUCCCUUUUAUUGUGUAUGAAAUUUAUGGUUUCUAUUGGUGUAAAUCCACUCACCUCAAUUCAAGAUGAGAAGCAAUUCUCCAUUGGUAGCAAAUGGUUAUCCAUUAAGCGGAGGAAAUCUUAGUUAAUAUAGACCCCUCUUGCAAGAACGGACUAACAGGGUCAGCUACCCAGCCAACCUUCAUAAUUAAAUACCGUUACUGUAUAGGUAGAGCUCGUUGUGAAAGACCUAUUACUGGAUAAUUCAUGGGUAGAGCCGAAGAAUGUGAACUAUACAAGUUAGCAAUAACAUUGAUUAAAUGAAGUAAAGGCUCCGGUGUAUAGAGAAGACCUCACCGUUUAAGAAGUAACCAUAGAAACGAUGGAAUCCACUAUUUCUUUAUCAUUGCUAUUUUUUUUAUUUAUUUUUAAUACCUAGUCUAGUACAAUUUCGUAUUUCGAGGCGAAACGCCUAUAAAAAAGAAAAAAUCGUGGUUGGGAAGGUUAUAGUAGCCAAAGCCGUUGGAAUUUUUAGUUUAUACAUUGGAAAAAUCCGUUUUGUUAUUAAUAUACUAGGAAAGGGGCAAAAGAAUAACUGAAAGAAAGGAAAUCUAUUAGUUAUUCGUGAAAGUUUCAUUUAUUCAAUGACCAGAAUUAGACGGGGAUAUAUCGCUCGGAGACGUAGAACAAAAAUUCGUUUAUUUGCAUCAAGCUUUCGGGGGGCUCAUUCAAGACUUACUCGAACUAUUACUCAACAAAAAAUAAGAGCUUUGGUUUCGGCUCAUCGGGAUAGGGAUAAGCAAAAAAUCAAUUUUCGUCGUUUGUGGAUCACUCGAAUAAAUGCAGCAAUUCGUGAAAGGGGGGUAUGCUAUAGUUAUAGUAGAUUAAUAAACGGUCUGUACAAGAGACAGUUGCUUCUUAAUCGUAAAAUACUUGCACAAAUAGCUAUAUCAAAUAGGAAUUGUCUUUAUAUGAUUUCCAAUGAGAUCAUAAAAGAAGUAGGUUGGAAGGAAUCCACCGGUUAAACGGAGUUGCCCGGAGAAUGAACUCCGGGAAGGUCGAAUAAAAAUGAAUAGAAUAUGAUAAAAUAUGAGAAAGUAGUCAAAAUAAAUAUGAAUCAACAAGUUAAAUAAAAAAAUUUAUUCUUCCCAGAUUAUUAUUUGUUUUCUUACGACACGAGAAUUCAAUCCGGAUUCUUGGAUUUUUCCAACAAAAUAUCAAUCCCCGUUUGAGUUCGGAUGGGAAUUCGAAUUCAAGUGAAUAAAGAGUAAACCUAUCUUUUUCUGGCUCUAAGACUAGGAGUUCUAGUGGUCGACUCGGUUCUUUCAAAUUGUUUCUCAUUAUUAAGAAAAGGUAACAAAGAUAAAAUACGAGCUUGUUUUAUAGCAAUAGUAAUUAAUCGUUGUUGUUUCAAGGUCAAUCUAUUCACUCGUCUAGAUAAUAUUUUUCCCUGUUCACUAAUAAAUCGACUAAUUAAACUCAUGUUUUUAUAAUCAAUUCGAUCCCCCGAUUGGAUCGGGGGCAAACGCCUACGAAAAGAUCGCUUGGAUUUAAGAAAAGUUCGCUUGGAUUUAUCCAUGGUUUGGUUAGUUUAUUUCUUAUCCCUAAAAUCCUAUUUCAGCCGUAUCUCUAAUUAGAAUAAAAAAAUAGGAUUUGGUUUGUUUAUAAUUAUCUUUAACUAUGUUAAAUAUGUUAUAUAUAUAAUGUCAUUUUUUCCUUUUCCUUGUAAGAUAGAUAAGGGCGCAGGUGCUCGGUUCGAUCUAUUUCUUUACCUCCCCGUGAAUCGUAUGUUUGUAACAAUAUGGACAGAAUUUUCGCAACUCCAAUCGAUUAGGCGUAUUGUGCCGGUUCUUUUGAGUAAUAUAUCUGGAAAUGCCCGUUGAUGCCUUAUUAACAUUAACACCGUUUCGAACACAAGCGGUACAUUCCAAAAGAACCGGUAUUCGCACAUCUUUACCCUUGGCCAUGAACCUCCUUUGGAUUUUUCAUUUACUCAACUCUUCCUCUUUCAAUCCGAAACGAAAAAGAAGAAAGGAAGGAAAAAACAAAAUAGAAUUUGUAACUUACUAUCCUCUUAUGCAAGAUUUCACUACAAUCAAUAUAGCAAAUAAGAUAGAAAGAUUUCUAAACUAGAUUUCAAAUCACAGUACAGUAUUUCAUAUAAGUAUCUUAUAUAAUACUCUUUCCCUAGAACCACAGUUUGUAUUCUAUUUCCAUAGAAAUUGAAUACAUAGAAAUUUCAUAUUAAUUUAAUUCCAACCUGAACCCAAGUCUCGCAGCUGUUGAAUGCACUUUUAUUCUUUCUCUUUCCUCCCUUAUUCUAAAAUUUUUUAAAGGGAAAAAAGAGAAAAGAAGGGGGGGCUGGUAUUUAAUUGUAUCUCUAAUCUUCUUUAUUCCUUCCCACGUCAAUAACUAGAAUGAAAAAAAGGGGAACGUCAACGCAUCCGGGAAAAAACGAUUAAUCUCUAUCAAUAAACCUGCCAAAGAACCGAACCAUAGAGUACUUAAUACCGGUGCUACGGAAAGAUAUGUUUUUAGAUCUCGCAUUGAAAAACCUCCUUCAUUUUAUUGUAAUACAUAAACAUAUUGAAAUGUACAAUCAUCCAGUAAAUAAGAUUGACUUUUUGUUAAAUACAGAAAAAAACGUCCUUUCUUCCCCAAUAUUCCCCCAACUCAUUUAUUUUUCCUAGGGGUUCCAUUCCAUUUUUCAUAUAGAUAGAAGUAUUUUACUAUUAUUAUAUGUUAAAUGAGAACAAAAAGACGAAAUGGACAUAAAAAUUCUAGAUUUUAAUAGAGGAGAUAACGAUGUGGA